rnacentral:rRNA from 1 species
AGUUUUCUUGGUUUUUGGGUUUAGAAAUGUAUCCUGCUCGGUGAUUUUAUAAACAGCCGCGGUAAUUUGACCGUGCGAAGGUAGCAUAAUCAUUUGUCUUGUAAUUUGGGACUGGAAUGAAUGGAAGGACAGGAGAUCAGCUUUCUUUUUUUCUCUAUUAGAAUUUGUUUUUUUCGUGAAGAGACGAAAAUGUGGUGAAGGGACAAGAAGACCCUUUUGAGCUUUAUUUUAUUUUGUUUUCUGAGGUUUUUUAGAGGAUUUUAGAAAUUUGGUUGGGGCGAUCGAGGAAGAUGGGAUCUUCCUUUUUUUGGUAUUGAAUUUAGGAUCCUUAGUUUUUGAUUGAAAGAUUAAGUUACCAAAGGGAUAACAGCGUAAUUACUUCUGUGAGUUCUUAUUAAAGAAGUAGAUUGCGACCUCGAUGUUGACUUUUAGUUCCCUUUUGGUGUAGCAGCUAUUGUGGGGGGUCUGUUCGACCUUUAAAUCUAA